AGGACGAACGCUGGCGGCGUGCUUAACACAUGCAAGUCGAGCGGUAAGGCCUUUCGGGGUACACGAGCGGCGAACGGGUGAGUAACACGUGGGUGAUCUGCCCUGCACUCUGGGAUAAGCCUGGGAAACUGGGUCUAAUACCGGAUAUGACCUGCUCUCGCAUGGGGGUGGGUGGAAAGAUUUAUCGGUGCAGGAUGGGCCCGCGGCCUAUCAGCUUGUUGGUGGGGUAAUGGCCUACCAAGGCGACGACGGGUAGCCGACCUGAGAGGGUGACCGGCCACACUGGGACUGAGACACGGCCCAGACUCCUACGGGAGGCAGCAGUGGGGAAUAUUGCACAAUGGGCGAAAAGCCUGAUGCAGCGACGCCGCGUGAGGGAUGAAGGCCUGGUGUAAACCUCUUCAG
rnacentral:rRNA from 1 species